CUCAUCCAUCUCUCUCUCUCUAAACUCUCUGCAGAAAUGGGGAUACACUCUAAAACUUGAUAUUUGGAGUGGUUUAUGUCGCAAACAGAUCAUCACUAGAUUAGGAUGGUAGUGUUAAUGGUUUUUUUUACAUCUUCAGUACUUAUUCGUGAAGAUUAGAAGGUAACUGGUGGUCAAACGGAGGUGGUUUUCUUACAAGAGUUCGUCACUAUGUACGCGAACAUAAUGAGGAAGUAUGUAAAGAACCCAGUUAGAAGCUUCAGGGUUGAAGAAAAUGAUACAAAUAAGAUUAGGUAUUUUGAUAAUGUAAGUGUGAAUUGUGGUGGAUUGAAUGGUUUUAGUGAUGUUGUUCAUGCUGCAUAUCAGUUACCCCCCAUUAAGCAGGUUAAUCUUACCUGGUUCAGUGAGACAGACCCUUUCUGUAUUGGUAGUAAUGAAGAAUUCUUUGAGAUGUUGGACAAAGGAGUGGUUGAAGAUGAUGGGUACAUUCAUCUGUACAUGAAUGUUACCAACAUGAGUUUAUGGAUAGUAAAGACUUUAAGAACCACUUAAGGGAAUAUGCAGUGAAGAAAAAGUUUCAGUACAAGUUGAAGCCCAAUGACAAAGAAAGAAUCAAAGUUAAUUGCUAGUAUAACAAGUCUCAGAGUUGUAAGUUUUUUAUUUAUGCAAGUGUCAUAUGUCAUGAACUUACUUUUAUAGUGAGAAAGGUGAACUUGGAGCAUACAUGUGUGACUGAAGGUGUAACCAGAAACAGGACAACAAAUGCAGAAUUUGUUGCACAGUUCUUGUAUGAUAAGCUGAAGAGGGGAGACUCAAUGCCAAGCCCUUACAACUUACAAGAUCAGUUCCACACUCUUCAUAAUACUAGUGUUCCCUAUCAUGUGGCCUGGAGAGCUACAACUAAGACACUAGAAAAAGUAAAUGACAAUUAUGAUGAGUCUUACAGACUUGUGCCAGCUUUUUGUGAUAUGGUGGAGAAAACAAAUCCUGGUUCUUUGAAAAACUACACAUUUGGAAGUGUUGAUGGAUUCUUUGAGUCAAUGACAAUUUCCUUUGCAGCACCACUCAAAGGUUUUCAUGAUGGGUGUAGAAAUGUGAUAGGAUUUGAUGCUUGUCAUUUGACUGGAAAACAUGGUGGUUGUCUGAUGGCUGCAACUGCUUUGGAUGCAGAGAAUAUGAUUGUCCCAUUGGCUAUAAUGGUUACUAGAAAUGAAAUUGACAUGUGUAUGCAAAUUUCAAAAAAUACUAUAAAGGUACAAAGCUACAUAACCUGGUUUGCAAUGCUGCACUAUGUUACAAUGAAAGACAUUGGAAGGCCCACAUGGAUGAUCUUGUGAAGUUGUCUCCAGCAACAGCAGCAUAUAUGAUGAGGGAAAACCCAAAGCAAUGGUCUAGGGCCUUCUAUGACCAAGAACUUCUCAGCAGGAUGAUCUUCAGUUUCAGAUUUCAACAACUUUCUCACUCCAUUGCAAGGUAUAAAAAGAAAAGUGAAAAUCCGACUGUUGGGAAAGGUCUGAUUUUCUGGCAACCAACGUGCUGCCACUCACCUGGUUCCACGUCACCUAGUUCCACGUCACCUAGUUCCACGUCACCUAGUUCCACGUCACCUAGUUCCACGUCACCUAGUUCCACGUCACCUGGUUCCACGUCACAGAUCUGCCACAUUUGCAAACCACGUCAGUCACAAGUUUAACACCGUUUUUUCAAAAACUGUUAUGUCGCCCAAAGUGUGACUUUUUUGUUGACGAUUUACAAAAGUAUGAUCGAUUUGUAACCAAAUUAGAAAAAGUAGGACCAUUUUAUAAGUGGCCCUUUAUAAUUCGUGGUUGAAGGUUGCAGAGUGGGCACAUAUUGUUUUGAAUCUGACAUCUUCUUUUUAGCUAAUUUUAUGUUGUUAAGAUAGAAUUUUGAGCUGCAAACCACAUAAAAAAUUGUAUUUUAGGUGGAACUUGCUGAAUUUAAAAGCAAGAAAAUGGAAUUGUAUUAGGUAGCUGCUCCGGAAGCCAUUUAUAACAAAUUUUAUUUUUAUA